rnacentral:rRNA from 1 species
UACGGGGGGGAGCAAGCGUUGUUCGGAUUUACUGGGCGUAAAGGGCGCGUAGGCGGCCACCGCAAGUCACUUGUGAAAUCUCCGGGCUUAACCCGGAAAGGUCAACUGAUACUGCGGGGCUAGAGUGCAGAAGGGGCAACUGGAAUUCUCGGUGUAGCGGUGAAAUGCGUAGAUAUCAGGAGGAACACCGAUGGCGAAGGCAGCUCGCUGGGACGGUACUGACGCUGAGACGCGAAAGCGUGGGGGAGCAAACAGG